rnacentral:rRNA from 1 species
AUUGAACGCUGGCGGAAUGCUUUACACAUGCAAGUCGAACGGCAGCACGGACUUCGGUCUGGUGGCGAGUGGCGAACGGGUGAGUAAUGUAUCGGAACGUGCCCAGUCGUGGGGGAUAACGUAGUGAAAAUUACGCUAAUACCGCAUACGAUCUAUGGAUGAAAGCGGGGGAUCGCAAGACCUCGCGCGAUUGGAGCGGCCGAUAUCAGAUUAGGUAGUUGGUGGGGCAAAGGCCCACCAAGCCAACGAUCGUUAGCUGGUCUGAGAGGCCGACCAGCCACACUGGAACUGAGACACGGUCCAGAUUCCUACGGGAGGCAGCAGUGGGGAAUUUUGGACAAUGGGCGAAAGCCUGAUCCAGCCAUUCCGCGUGCAGGAUGAAGGCCCUCGGGUUGUAAACUGCCUUUGUACAGAACGAAAAGGUUUCUACUAAUACUAGGAGCUCAUGACGGUACUGUAAGAAUAAGCACCGGCUAACUACGUGCCAGCAGCCGCCGUAA